AAAUUAAUGAAUAAGCUAGGUUUUUUAAUCUCUUUUAAGAAAAUAGAAUAUGGGCCGGAUAAAGAGAUUAAUGGGUCUGAUUAAUGGGGCACUGUAUCCAAUAAAAGUGUGCAAACAGAAACGUGUCAUUUCGAAUCACACACAAACUCACAACGUUUCCAGUGAAGUUCGCCGUCGCCGGAACUCAUGAAACGACGGUGGUCGUUUCCGCACUAUCAAAAUCCUAAUCCGAAAUUCUUCCAACAAUGUCCUCCUCCAAACCCAAUUCCUAAUUUCAUCUUCCGACCUCCUCCACCUCCUCUUCAAAAUCCUAACAAUUUUACUCCAUCGCUCCGUCUCCGGUACGCUCACUUCUAUACAGUCCAUGUUGUCGGAAUUUCAAAGAACCUGGGAUUCAAAUAUAGCUUUGGAGCACUCUUCUCUUCUCCAGAUGGACGAAAAUGGCGGUUUCAGCGGAGGAGCUGUUAACUUCUCUGAGCUGGAUGCAAAAAAGCGAUCUUUAACACUUGCCAAUGUUCUAUCUGUGGAAGGUAGGUAGCAAUUUUGUAGGUUCUGAAGGGAUUCUACCCGUAAGUUUGUUCCAAUACAUUCAGCUCGCUGAGCUUGGAAAGUGUCUCUGGGAUUUCACCUGGGAGGUUAGAUCUUUGAUUGAUCGGGUAGAUUUUUGUGAAUCUGAGGCUGAAGCAUCUCUUGAAUUUUUACUGAAUGAAGCCAAUGUGACGAUUAUUAGUGCUUUUCUGGUUUUUUUGAGAGUUAAAGGAGAGACUUUUGAAGAAAUUGUGGGGUUGGCCAAGGCAUGAUAAAGCAUGCUAAGAAAUUGGACGGACUAGUCGAUGUAGUGGAAAUUGUUCUCCUACCUUCAAAAGCUAUUAGUAAGCCAAAACUGUCCCAAGGUUCAAGUAUGUAGAGGAUUAAAAAAACAUCCAAAGUCGUCAAGAAUGUCUCAACCUUCUUGUUCUAUUGAUGAGAUGAGCUUCUCGUAUGAGUUUUUGUUUGUGAAACUUUAUUGUGAUAGAGUAGAAUUACAGCCAGUUGGCCUUGUGAACUUAGGGAACAGUUGUUAUGCAAAUGCUGUCCUUCAGUUCUUGGCAUUCACUGGCCACUUAUAUCAUACCCUAUUAGGGGAUUACACUCUAAUAACAUGUAAGCUGCACACCAAAAUGAUUUUACUGCUCUUAUUGAAACUAUG